UGAGGAAUUUUGCGCAAUGGGGGAAACCCUGACGCAGCAACGCCGCGUGAGUGAUGAAGGCUUUCGGGUCGUAAAGCUCUGUCAAGUGGGAAGAACCCACAUGGUGUUAAUAUCACCAUGUGUUGACGGUACCACUGAAGGAAGCACCGGCUAACUCCGUGCCAGCAGCCGCGGUAAUACGGGGGGUGCAAGCGUUAUUCGGAAUUACUGGGCGUAAAGGGCGCGUAGGCGGUCUCUAUAGUCAGAUGUGAAAGCCCGGGGCUUAACCCCGGAAGUGCAUUUGAAACUCAGGGACUUGAGUAUGGGAGAGGGAAGUGGAAUUCCUGGUGUAGCGGUGAAAUGCGUAGAUAUCAGGAGGAACACCAGUGGCGAAGGCGACUUCCUGGACCAAUACUGACGCUGAGGCGCGAAGGCGUGGGGAGCAAACAGGAUUAGAUACCCUGGUAGUCCACGCAGUAAACGGUGAACACUAGGUGUAGCGGGUAUUGACCCCUGCUGUGCCGCAGCUAACGCAUUAAGUGUUCCGCCUGGGGAGUACGAUCGCAAGAUUA
rnacentral:rRNA from 1 species